UGGCGGACGGGUGAGUAACGACGUGGAAAACCUGCCGUAGUACUGGGGGAUAACAACUUAGAAAUAGGUGCUAAUACCGCAUAAGCGCACAGCUUCGCAUGAAGCGGUGUAGAAAAACUCUGGUGGUAUACGAUGGUUCCGCGUCUGAUUAGCUAGUUGGUGGGGUAAUGGCCUACCAAGGCAACGAUCAGUAGCCGGCCUGAGAGGGUGAACGGCCACAUUGGGACUGAGACACGGCCCAAACUCCUACGGAAGGCAGCAG
rnacentral:rRNA from 1 species